rnacentral:RNase_P_RNA from 1 species
GGAGCCGGCCGGACAGCCGCUGGCCCGAUUUGGGUUGGAGGAAAGUCCGGACUCCGCAGGGCAGAGUGCCAGGUAAUGCCUGGGCGGCGUGAGCCGACGGCCAGUGCCACAGAAAAUAUACCGCCCGCAGCCGUAGUGGCCGCGGGUAAGGGUGAAAUGGUGCGGUAAGAGCGCACCGCGUUGGUGGCAACAUCAACGGCACGGUAAACCCCACUCGGAGCAAGACCAAAUAGGAAUCCAUGGGCGUGGCCCGCGCCGGAUUCGGGUAGGUCGCACGAGACGCGCGGUGACGCGCGCCCCAGAUGAAUGGCUGUCACGUUCCGUAACUGCGGAUCGAUACAGAAUCCGGCUUAUAGGCCGGCUCCACUC